rfam:Carnobacterium maltaromaticum LMA28 complete genome
UAUAAAACCGUGAUGAGAAAAGUAAUUAAUGGAUGAAUUCUUAGAGAGCCUUGUUUUGGUGUAAAAAGGCAAUUCACAAAUUAAUGAACAUGGCCUCGGAGUUUUAGUGAUUGAACGACUAGUUUUGUCUUUAAAUCCUACAGGGUUCGCCUGUUAUAGCGAUAGAGUCUCUUGCUAACUUAAGCACGGUACUUGAAGAGGUUUAUUUUGUGAAAAAUAAACAAAUAAAAGGUGGUAACACGACUCGAUAUCUAUCGCGCUCGUCCUUUAU